UGGGGAAUAUUGCGCAAUGGGCGAAAGCCUGACGCAGCGACGCCGCGUGGGUGAAGAAGGUCUUCGGACUGUAAAGCACUUUAAGUUGGGAGGAAGGGCAGUUACCUAAUACGUGAUUGUUUUGACGUUACCGACAGAAUAAGCACCGGCUAACUCUGUGCCAGCAGCCGCGGUAAUACAGAGGGUGCAAGCGUUAAUCGGAAUUACUGGGCGUAAAGCGCGCGUAGGUGGUUUGUUAAGUUGGAUGUGAAAGCCCCGGGCUCAACCUGGGAACUGCAUCCAAAACUGGCAAGCUAGAGUAUGGUAGAGGGUGGUGGAAUUUCCUGUGUAGCGGUGAAAUGCGUAGAUAUAGGAAGGAACACCAGUGGCGAAGGCGACCACCUGGACUGAUACUGACACUGAGGUGCGAAAGCGUGGGGAGCAAACA
rnacentral:rRNA from 1 species